rnacentral:rRNA from 1 species
AUACGGAGGGUGCAAGCGUUAAUCGGAAUCACUGGGCGUAAAGCGUACGUAGGCGGUUGGUUAAGUUAGAUGUGAAAGCCCCGGGCUUAACCUGGGAACUGCAUUUAAAACUGGCGAACUAGAGUUGAGUAGAGGGGAGUGGAAUUUCAGGUGUAGCGGUGAAAUGCGUAGAGAUCUGAAGGAACACCAGUGGCGAAGGCGACUCCCUGGACUCGAACUGACGCUGAGGUACGAAAGCGUGGGUAGCAAACGGGAUUAGAAACCCUAGUAGUCC